rnacentral:rRNA from 1 species
UACGUAGGGUGCGAGCGUUAAUCGGAAUUACUGGGCGUAAAGUGUGCGCAGGCGGCCGAGCAAGUCGAGUGUGAAAGCCCCGAGCUUAACUUGGGAACUGCGCUCGAAACUACUUGGCUAGAGUGUGGCAGAGGGAGGUGGAAUUCCACGUGUAGCGGUGAAAUGCGUAGAGAUGUGGAGGAACACCGAUGGCGAAGGCGGCAUCCUGGACCGAUACUGACGCUGAGGAGCGAAAGCCAGGGGAGCAAACGGG